AAGAAAAGGAAAAGGAAAAGUAAAUAACCUAAAUAACUGUACACUAUCUAACAGUUUCUUUUAUUAAUGUCGUGAGCAUGAAGAGGUAGCAGAUUGCUGAGAUAAAGCUGAUGCAUCCUACAGCAUCAGAUCUGUUCUUGGUCUUCUUUAUAAAUGAGGUGUUUUAGUUAUGCUCUCAGUAGCAAUUUGCAUGGGAACAUAGGAAUAAAACUAGCCUACAAUGUCUGUGUCUAAGGUCUUCUACUGUGAAGAGAAAAAUGAUUCCAUGCAAAAAUAAUGGUAUACUGGGUAUCUAAACAUUUUGUCCUUUUGGGUAUCAGAACAAUCUAUAAACACACAUUUAAUCAAAUGUGGAUUAUCUGAACUUAAUAUAAGAACUUGGUAAAGAAACGCAACCAAAAACUUGAUAUGGUGGUUCAAACAAAAUAGGUGCGCUCAGGUUCAUAAAAUAAAGAAGGAAUUUAAUUGGCUGUUGAAGAAAUGGCAUGUGACUAUUAAAAUUGCAAGAGGUCAAAAUUGCAUUAAGAACAGAACAUGCAUCUGAAGCAACAAGUUCUUGCUAGUUUUAGUAAAUAUCCAUUUUUAGAGGCUCUAUAAGGACAUGGUACAGGCCUCAUAUGGGACCCCUGACCUGGGGUUGUGACUAAUUAAAAUUGAAAGUAGUUGAAAUUGCAUUCCUAUAGAAUUUCAUAGGAACAUUCAUCUGAAGCACUUGUCUACUCAAAUAUUUUCUAGAGGGUCCCACAAGGCUUGGUUGAGGCCUCAUAGAAAAUUGCUAGUUACAGGUGGGAACUAGUGUCUGAGGUUUUCUAACAUUGCUUUUACUGCAUUAUAUUUAGUUUCCUGGACCUCUUAGUGAUAACAAAGACUAGUUCAAUUAACCAACUAGUUUUUAAAUUCCUUGUUAUUUUUGUUACAUGGAAUAUCCUUUUGGAUGAACCUACACAAUGAAAGAUGAAAGAAGCAUUCAAAGAAUGCCUAAAGUUUGCUUCUGGGAGAGAACUGGCCUACAAACCAAAUCAGAAGCCAAAUGUUCCAGAAUAGAUAUCUUGUCCAAGACUACAUGAUGAUUGUUUAGGGAAAAAAAUGUGCGCUUAUAAACUACAUGAUGAUUGUUGACCUCCUCCCAAAUUGUCAACCAAACUAUCAAUGAAAUCCAAACAUAGACAGAUUAGCACCAUCUUGUGAGCUCCUAAACCUAGUGAAUAGAAAUUUGAGAUGAAGAUCUUUCAACCCUAAUUCUGAUUGCCCCUUCUUUAUUGUCCUUACCAGCUUGGGUGGAGGAUUUAUUGAUUGAAGGGAGAGGGUGACUGAAGUCAUAAUAUUUAAGAUAUUUAUAACAUAUAAUCUUCAUAAACAGGGGCACAGCCAUGCAUGGUGCAGGGGGCCCUUUUAUAAUGCAAAAUGGCCUUACCACUCAUCUAAACAAUGCAAAUAUGUUAAAUCUUGGUUCCCAGAAAUAAAUCUCCCACUCUUUGUCCCCCUGAAAUAAAAUCUCAUCCUCUUCCCCCCACCCCACUCACUCUCCCAAAAUUUAUGAAAUACCCAUUGGAUUAUAUGUUCUAUCUUAUUAUUUGCUUUGGUUAUGGUGGUCUACAUUGCUUUUUGUUAUGUUUGUCUUGAAAUCUAUAUUUGCAUGAUCCUCCUAAAGUACUUUUGCUGCAUCAGGAUUUCAUUACUGCUAAUAAAUCCUAGGUUUUGGCUUCUAUACUACUGUUUCUACUUAGUACUCUUGAAUGUUUUAUCAUUGCAGUUCCUGGUGAGAGUUUUCUGUGUUAGGUAUUUUGAUCUUCUCUACUCAAAUUUUUUUUUUUCUAUUGACAAUAUUAUCCACUCUAAGAUAUCAUUUCUGUAACUUGUUGAACUACUAUUUGGUGGUGCAGGUCUUUGAGUAUAUAAUUCUUGGUUGAUUUGCUAUCCUGUAAGUUUUGGUAGAAUCAUAUUCUAUGAUUACUUAGAGACAAUGUACUUGUGAUACCUGAAUUUCCAUCUCACCACAAUGGAGACGAUCUGAAGUGGGAGAUAAAAUGGGGACCCUAUGAUAUGAGAAGAGAGUUAGUUGUGACUGUUGUUGUAGAGGGUGGGAGAGAGGAAAUUGAAUGUGCACAACUGUCCUUCACUUCACUAUACCACUUCAGCAUUUUGGAAGACAGGAAACUGAAUAUGCACAACAACUGCCUUCACCUCACUGGAUUACCUUAGCAUGUUUUUUGGAGUGGCUGAUAUUAUUGUAGCUCAUGACUGAAAUUAUCCAGUCAAAUUAAAUUUAAGUGUAGGCUAUCUUUUGAGUGAUAGAAAGCCGAAAGAGGGUGCAGGGUCAAGACAUGUCUGCCAUUUCUCUUCAACUUGUACUGUUUAUACUAAUAAUGUCAUAAUUAAUUUGACCCGCAUGAUUAUCAUGUUCAUA